GACCACGUUGGCUGUGCGCGAGUGCUCGUUGCAGUGAGGUGGUAGUUGAAUUUUAUAUUAGAAGUGCCUAGGCAAAAUGUGCUUCUUAUCGUGUGCAUUAACCAUCGCACAACCUCUGGACUCGUGAAAUGCCGUUGUUCGCCGUGGGUUUCGUGCGAUACGCCAGUGUCAACAGUGUCUUACUGCGCCCGUCCAAGCUGCCUUUGUUUCCGCCUGCCUGCGCUCUCUCGUGAAAAGCCUGGUACUGGGGCUUCAUCUCAUUGUAUGGAAGAAUUUGUUGUAGGUUGUGCAUUCGUGGUGCUGUAGUUCAUCGGCAGCUCUACAGUGUUUUCGCCCGCAAGAGAGUUGGUGCCACGGUACCCGUGAGACGAAAGAGCGUUUGUUGACUACGUCUUGAAAGUUGAAGGCUGUGCGGAUUCUGGAGGCAUCCCACAGGAACCUGCAGCACUGCUGCAAGCUGGAGAGCACCACUAUAAAGCACCUGAUCUGCGUGCUUUUACAAAGGCUUGCAGCAAGAGGGAUAUCAAGAACAGGGGAGAUAUCCAGACCACAUUAUAGUCACUGCUUGCUUGUGGCUUCUUAGGGCAUGUAUGAAAGGGUUGGAAAAUAAACAUCAGUGUUUGAAAAGAUUGGUGUGUUUCACUAACAGGUACAUACUUUUAUAUGUUCAAGGUUGCAUCAGAGCACUACCAGACAAUUUUUAAAAAAUGCUGGAAAA